UUUCGAAUCAUUCACAAUGGGGGAAACCCUGAUGGUGCGACGCCGCGUGGAGGAUGAAGGUCUUCGGAUUGUAAACUCCUGUCAAGGGGGACUAACCAUACGGCUCAUACCCGUAUCUGCAUUAACCCCUAGAGGAAGCAGUGGCUAACUCUGUGCCAGCAGCCGCGGUAAUACAGAGACUGCAAGCGUUACUCGGAUCCACUGGGCGUAAAGGGAGCGCAGGCGGAAUCGUGUGUCGGAUGUGAAACCCGGGGGCUCAACCUGAGAACUGCAUUUCAAACUGGAAGUCUAGAGUGCAGGAGAGGAAAGUGGAAUUCCUAGUGUAGCGGUGAAAUGCGUAGAUAUUAGGAAGAACACCAGUGGCGAAGGCGACUUUCUGGACUGUAACUGACACUGAGGCUCGAAAGCGUGGGUAGCAAACA
rnacentral:rRNA from 1 species